rnacentral:rRNA from 1 species
UAGUCAUAUGCUUAUCUCAAAGAUUAAGCCAUGCAUGUCUAAGUACACAGACUAGUAAUCUGAAACCGCGGAUGGCUCAUUAUAACAGCUAUGAUUUGAGAGACAUAAUCUUUUUGCUACAAGAUAACUGUGGUAAUUCUAGAGCUAAUAUUUCUAAGAAUGCCGUGACUCACGAAGCGGCGGAUUUAUUAGUUUCAAAACCAACCUGUUACCCGUUAAAUGGUGUGGCGGUUCUUUGAUGACUCUGGAUAACUUCACUGAUCGUACGACCUCAAGUGUUGACGACGAAUCUCUUGAAAUGGCUGACCUAUCAACUUUCGAUGGUAAGAUCAAAGCUUACCAUGGUUGUAACGGGUAACGGGGAAUCAGUGUUCGAUUCCGGAGAGGGAGCCUGAGAAACGGCUACCACAUCCACGGAAGGCAGCAGGCGCGCAAAUUACCCAAUACCGGCUCGGUGAGGUAGUGACAAAAAAUAACAAUAUGGGCCCUAGUGGUUUCAUAAUUGCAAUGAGAAAAUCGUAAAUACUUUAUCAAGUAUCAAUU